GCCCCUAUAGUUUAAUGGAUAGAAUUUCAGAUUCCGGUUCUGACGGUUGCGGUUCGAUUCCGCAUGGGGGUACGA
rnacentral:tRNA from 1 species